rnacentral:rRNA from 1 species
GCCAGCAGCAUACCACCCUGCAUCCCACUGCUGACUUGCUUCUGAAGCUAACCAGGGUUGGUCCUGGUCAGUUCCUGGAUGGUGCAGUCCAGAUGCUGCUGGUA